GACGAACGCUGGCGGCGUGCUUAACACAUGCAAGUCGAGCGGUAAGGCCUUUCGGGGUACACGAGCGGCGAACGGGUGAGUAACACGUGGGUGAUCUGCCCUGCACUUCGGGAUAAGCCUGGGAAACUGGGUCUAAUACCGGAUAUGACCUCCUAUCGCAUGGUGGGUGGUGGAAAGAUUUAUCGGUGCAGGAUGGGCCCGCGGCCUAUCAGCUUGUUGGUGGGGUAAUGGCCUACCAAGGCGACGACGGGUAGCCGACCUGAGAGGGUGACCGGCCACAAUGGGACUGAGACACGGCCCAGACUCCUACGGGAGGCAGCAGUGGGGAAUAUUGCACAAUGGGCGAAAGCCUGAUGCAGCGACGCCGCGUGAGGGAUGACGGCCUUCGGGUUGUAAACCUCUUUCAGCAGGGACGAAGCGCAAGUGACGGUACCUGCAGAAGAAGCACCGGCUAACUACGUG
rnacentral:rRNA from 1 species